UACAGAGGGUGCAAGCGUUAAUCGGAAUUACUGGGCGUAAAGCGCACGUAGGUGGUUGAAUAAGUUUGAUGUGAAAGCCCUGGGCUUAACCUGGGAAUGGCGUUGAAGACUGUUGAACUGGAGUCGGACAGAGGGUUGUGGAAUUUCCGGUGUAGCGGUGAAAUGCGUAGAGAUCGGAAAGAACACCAGUGGCGAAGGCGACAGCCUGGGUCCAGACUGACACUGAGGGGCGAAAGCGUGGGGAGCAAACAGG
rnacentral:rRNA from 1 species